AUGACCGUGGAGGGAGAGACUGCAUCUCAUUAAAAACAAAUGCAGCGCCGAAGGAGCAAGCAUACAGCGAAUCUCUCAGGCAGCAAAGACUUUCACGGGACG
rnacentral:ncRNA from 2 species